CCUCUUCGAUCUGUUGCGGACAGAUAAAGUGUAUAUGGGUAUCGAUACCGCCUGCAGUAACGAUAAAGCCUUCAGCGGCAAUAAUUUCGGUGCCAGGGCCGAUGACGAUAGUGACGCCAGGCUGGAUGUCGGGAUUGCCGGCUUUGCCGAUACCCGUUAUAUGACCGUUUUUGAUACCGAUAUCGGCCUUGACAAUACCUGCAAUGGCGUCAACGAUGAGCGCAUUGGUAAUGACGGUGUCGGCGCAAUCGGCCGUACACCGCUGGCUUUGACCCAUGCCGUCGCGAAUG
rnacentral:sRNA from 1 species